rnacentral:rRNA from 1 species
UACGGAGGAUCCAAGCGUUAUCCGGAUUUAUUGGGUUUAAAGGGUGCGUAGGCGGCCUAUUAAGUCAGGGGUGAAAGACGGUAGCUUAACUAUCGCAGUGCCUUUGAUACUGAUGGGCUUGAAUGUACUUGAGGUAGGCGGAAUGUGACAAGUAGCGGUGAAAUGCAUAGAUAUGUCACAGAACACCAAUUGCGAAGGCAGCUUACUAAAAGUAUGAUUGACGCUGAGGCACGAAAGCGUGGGGAUCAAACAGG